UACGUAGGCAGCGAGCGUUGUUCGGAGUUACUGGGCGUAAAGGGUGCGUAGGCGGUUGUUUAAGUUUGGUGUGAAAUCUCCCGGCUCAACUGGGAGGGUGCGCCGAAUACUGAAUGACUAGAGUGCGGAAGAGGAGAGUGGAAUUCCUGGUGUAGCGGUGAAAUGCGCAGAUAUCAGGAGGAACACCGGUGGCGAAGGCGGGUCUCUGGGCCGAUACUGACGCUGAGGAGCGAAAGCGUGGGGAGCGAACAGG
rnacentral:rRNA from 1 species